UGCGCUGCCCAGUGAAGAACAUUUCUUCUUUUUCCAUCUUUUAACUGCAUGAGCUCUGGAUUUACCUUUGCCAUCUCUUCUAGCAUAUCUAUUUUUCCUUCAAUAAUGGUAGCAUGAGCUGGUGGGUUUCCUUCAAGCUUAUUAACUAAAUCACUAUGCCCUGUUGGAGCUUGCAGAAGCAAUCGAAAAAUCUGAAAGUCGCCUAUUUUGACAGCCAUAUAGAGAGGAGACCAGCCUUCCUUGUUCUGAUAAUACCACACUUG
rnacentral:misc_RNA from 1 species